UACAGAGGGUGCAAGCGUUAUUCGGAAUUAUUGGGCGUAAAGGGCGCGUAGGCGGCCUGGCAAGUGGAAGGUGAAAUCCCUCGGCUUAACCGAGGAACUGCACUCCAAACUGCUUGGCUUGAGUCCGGGAGAGGUGAGUGGAAUUCCCAGUGUAGCGGUGAAAUGCGUAGAUAUUGGGAGGAACACCAGUGGCGAAGGCGGCGCACUGGACCGGAACUGACGCUGAGGCGCGAAAGCGUGGGGAGCAAACGGG
rnacentral:rRNA from 1 species